AAUAUGCACUGCGUCAAUUCAUUGCUAGGGUUCAAGCUCUUGAAAGUUAAAGAAGGAGAAGGUAACUCAUGAGGAUUUCCAGUUACUUCUAUGUUUCUAUAUUGUUCAGGGAUCAAGAUCACGUUUUCGACUAUGGAAACUUGUAAUAUUCAUCUUCAAAUCUAAAUAUGUACUGCGUCAAUUCAUUGCUAGGGUUCAAGAGACCAACACUUACUUCAAUUCUUGAAAUUGUUUGAAAUUUAAAGAAGGAGAAGGUAACUCAUGAUGAUUUCCAGUUAUUUCUCUGUUUCUAUAUUGUGCAGGGACAAAGAUCAUGGUCUUGACUAUUGAAACUUGUUUCCACGCCACCACCUCAAGAGUCGGUUUAAGAUCUUUGAAGUACCAUUAUGGCAGCGACUAAAUGAAUUCCAGGACAAAGAUCAUGGUCACAAAAUUAUUAUUCUGCAA